GAUCCUGCUCAGGAUGAACGCUAGCUACAGGCUUAACACAUGCAAGUCGAGGGGAAACGACAUCGAAAGCUUGCUUUUGAUGGGCGUCGACCGGCGCACGGGUGAGUAACGCGUAUCCAACCUGCCCAUCACUUGGGAAUAACCUUGCGAAAGUAAGACUAAUGCCCAAUGAUAUCCCACGAAGGCAUCCGAAUGGGAUUAAAGAUUUAUCGGUGAUGGAUGGGGAUGCGUCUGAUUAG
rnacentral:rRNA from 1 species